UUAACUCAAAUUUGUAUGAAGUCGGACAACUCCACUACGUUUGCCGCUAGGGGCGCUGUUUCGGCUCCAUACAAAUUUGGGUUA
rnacentral:pre_miRNA from 1 species